UAUAGACCUAAUGCUCUAUAAUAUAAUCUACAGGUUAGUAUAGACCUAAUGCUCUAUAAUAUAAUCUACAGGUUAGUAUAGACCUAAUCCUCUAUAAUAUAAUCUACAGGUUAGUAUAGACCUAAUCCUCUAUAAUAUAAUCUACAGGUUAGUAUAGACCUAAUCCUCUAUAAUAUAAUCUACAGGUUAGUAUAGACAUAAUCCUCUAUAAUAUAAUCUACAGGUUAGUAUAGACCUAAUCCUCUAUAAUAUAAUCUACAGGUUAGUAUAGACCUAAUGCUCUAUAAUAUAAUCUACAGGUUAGUAUAGACCUAAUGCUCUAUAAUAUAAUCUAAAGGUUAGUAUAGACCUAAUCCUCUAUAAUAUAAUCUACAGGUUAGUAUAGACCUAAUCCUCUAUAAUAUAAUCUACAGGUUAGUAUAGACCUAAUCCUCUAUAAUAUAAUCUACAGGUUAGUAUAGACAUAAUCCUCUAUAAUAUAAUCUACAGGUUAGUACAGACCUAAUGCUCUAUAAUAUAAUCUACAGGUUAGUAUAGACCUAAUCCUCU